CCUACGGGGGGCAGCAGUGGGGAAUAUUGGGCAAUGGGCGCAAGCCUGACCCAGCAACGCCGCGUGAAGGAAGAAGGCCCUCGGGUUGUAAACUUCUUUUAACAGGGACGAAGAAAGUGACGGUACCUGUUGAAUAAGCCACGGCUAACUACGUGCCAGCAGCCGCGGUAAUACGUAGGUGGCAAGCGUUAUCCGGAUUUACUGGGUGUAAAGGGCGUGUAGGCGGGAGAGCAAGUCAGACGUGAAAUUCCAGGGCUCAACCCUGGAACGGCGUUUGAAACUGUUCUUCUUGAGUGAAGGGGAGGCAGGCGGAAGUCGGGGGGGAGCGGGGAAAUGCGUAGAUAUACGGAGGAA
rnacentral:rRNA from 1 species